AUUGAACGCUGGCGGCAGGCCUAACACAUGCAAGUCGAGCGGUAACAGAUCUAGCUUGCUAGAUGCUGACGAGCGGCGGACGGGUGAGUAAUGCAUAGGAAUCUGCCCGRUAGUGGGGGAUAACCUGGGGAAACCCAGGCUAAUACCGCAUACGUCCUACGGGAGAAAGGGGGCUUCGGCUCCCGCUAUUGGAUGAGCCUAUGUCGGAUUAGCUAGUUGGUGAGGUAAAGGCUCACCAAGGCUGCGAUCCGUAGCUGGUCUGAGAGGAUGAUCAGCCACAUCGGGACUGAGACACGGCCCGAACUCCUACGGGAGGCAGCAGUGGGGAAUAUUGGACAAUGGGGGCAACCCUGAUCCAGCCAUGCCGCGUGUGUGAAGAAGGCCCUCGGGUUGUAAAGCACUUUCAGCGAGGAAGAACGCCUAGCGGUUAAUACCCGUUAGGAAAGACAUCACUCGCAGAAGAAGCACCGGCUAACUCCGUGCCAGCAGCCGCGGUAAUACGGAGGGUGCAAGCGUUAAUCGGAAUUACUGGGCGUAAAGCGCGCGUAGGUGGCUUGAUAAGCCGGUUGUGAAAGCCCCGGGCUCAACCUGGGAACGGCAUCCGGAACUGUCAGGCUAGAGUGCAGGAGAGGAAGGUAGAAUUCCCGGUGUAGCGGUGAAAUGCGUAGAGAUCGGGAGGAAUACCAGUGGCGAAGGCGGCCUUCUGGACUGACACUGACACUGAGGUGCGAAAGCGUGGGUAGCAAACAGGAUUAGAUACCCUGGUAGUCCACGCCGUAAACGAUGUCGACCAGCCGUUGGGUGCCUAGCGCACUUUGUGGCGAAGUUAACGCGAUAAGUCGACCGCCUGGGGAGUACGGCCGCAAGGUUAAAACUCAAAUGAAUUGACGGGGGCCCGCACAAGCGGUGGAGCAUGUGGUUUAAUUCGAUGCAACGCGAAGAACCUUACCUACCCUUGACAUCUACAGAAGCCGGAAGAGAUUCUGGUGUGCCUUCGGGAACUGUAAGACAGGUGCUGCAUGGCUGUCGUCAGCUCGUGUUGUGAAAUGUUGGGUUAAGUCCCGUAACGAGCGCAACCCUUGUCCUUAUUUGCCAGCGAGUAAUGUCGGGAACUCUAAGGAGACUGCCGGUGACAAACCGGAG
rnacentral:rRNA from 1 species